rnacentral:rRNA from 1 species
AUGUUCAGUCCGAACACCCCGGAGGAAGCAAAAGAAUCAGUCAAGAAUGCUUUACAGAUCAAUAGCGAGAACUGGAACGAACAAUACCUUGGUCUUCCGGUGCAUGUAGGCAGAUCAAGGAGGAAAACAUUUGCUUAUGUCAAAGGUAAUAUCUGCGGGAGAGUAUAUGGCUGGCAGGAGAGGUUACUGGCUAAAGAGAGCAAAGAAGGACUGGUGAAGGGAGUUGCUCAGGCCAUUCCAACUUAUGCAAUGUCAUGCUUCGAUCUAACCAAAUCCUUGUGUUCAGAAAUCAAUAGUUUGCUUGGGAAGUUCUGGUGGAGCCAGCAGGACAAGGAAAACACUUUGCAUUGGAUUAGUUGGGACAAACUGACACUGCCGAAAGCUAAAGGAGGACUUGGUUUCCGAGAUAUGCAUAACUUCAACCUUGCAAUGCUGUCCAGGCAGGGGUGGUGUCUCCUUCAAAAUCAGGACAGUCUCUGA